UGCGAGUGAAGCGGCAGAAGCUCAAAUUUGAAAUCUGGGGCCUCCGCGGCCUCCGAGUUGUAAUUUCACGAUACAUCGUUGACCGAUGGUUCCGUCGUAAGUUCCUUGGAACAGGACGUCACAGAGGGUGAGAAUCCCGUGAAUGAUGGAGCCUGAGGCGUAUAACGUGUAUUCAACGAGUCGAGUUGUUUGGGAAUGCAGCUCAAAAUGGGUGGUAAAUUUCAUCUAAGGCUAAAUAUUGGCGAGAGACCGAUAGCGCACAAGUAGAGUGAUCGAAAGAUGAAAAGCACUUUGAAAAGAGAGUCAAAAAGUACGUGAAAUUGUUGAAAGGGAAGCGCUUGAGACCAGACUCAAUGGGUGGUGAUCAGCGGUGCUUCUGUGCCGUGCACUUUGCCAUCCGUUGGGCCAGCAUCGGUUCCGACGGUGGGACAAAGUCUUGGGGAAUGUAGCUCCCUUCGGGGAGUGUUAUAGCCCCUUGAGCAAUGCCAUCAGC
rnacentral:rRNA from 1 species